UUUUCUCACUCAAAAUGAAUGACAAAAUCCUUACAAUAGACUACAAAGUCCUACAUUAUUCAGCCCCCUCAUAUUUUUCUAACCUUAUCUCAUUCUACCUAUUCUCUUAAUCUGUUUUCCUGGAAUCUUCCUGUGUACAUCUGCAUGACUCACUCCUUCCUCUAUUUUAAAACUUUACUUACGUUCUCAAUGAGGACAACCUUACCUGAUUUACAGGUGCAAUCAUUUUGGUACACUUUUAGUUCAUUCUUCUGCAAACAUCUGAUCAC
rnacentral:lncRNA from 10 species